rnacentral:misc_RNA from 1 species
UUAAGUUCAGCGGGUAGUCCUACCUGAUUUGAGGUCAAAUUUGUCAAAUGUUGGUUGUUAUAAGCGGUGCUGACCAGCAAUUACCAAAGGCAUAGAUAAAUUAUCACACCAAUAGCAGCUCAGAUUACCACUAAUGCAUUUCAGGGGAGCCAGCUUUCAUUAGAAAAAGAAGCCUGCAAACCCCCACAUCCAAGCGCACA